CGGAACUUGUCAUGGAGAGAGCCUGAAGUGGGCUGUUUCUUGGCACAGACGAGCUGUUGCCACUCCGUCCCCGGGUUUCCUUCUGCUGUGCCCCGAGGGACCCAGAGGAGCAUGUAAAGGAGGGUCCUCCCCCACCGUCUCCCCAGAUUUGGAGGCAAUUUGUGGGGAGCAGGAGGGUGUACUUGAGGGCGGUCUACAGCCCCUCCUUCACGUGGAUGCUGGAGAAAGAGGCGGAGAGUAUUGCUUGGAGUCAGACCCACCGCCUUAAAUCUUUGUGGUGCUGUGUGCAAGCUGUGUGACCUUGGGUGUGCGGCUGAACCUUUCUGAGUCUCAUUCCAGGGACUCUAAAAUGGGGGUAGGGAUGUUCGAC
ensembl:lncRNA